AUGGGUGAGUAACACGUGCUUAAUCUACCUUUUAGAUUGGGAUACCCAAUGGAAACAUUGGUUAAUACCGGAUACGCAGAGAAUCGCAUGAUUCUUUUGUGAAAGGAGCCUUAAAGCUCCACUAGAAGAUGAGGGUGCGGAACAUUAGUUAGUUGGUGAGGUAAUGGCUCACCAAGACUAUGAUGUUUAGCCGGGUCGAGAGACUGAACGGCCACAUUGGGACUGAGAUACGGCCCAAACUCCUACGGGAGGCAGCAGUAGGGAAUAUUCCACAAUGAGCGAAAGCUUGAUGGAGCGACACAGCGUGCACGAUGACGGUCUUCGGAUUGUAAAGUGCUGUUAUAAGGAAAGAAYACUUCAAUGAGGAAAUGCUUUGAAGCUGACGGUACCUUAUCAGAAAGCGAUGGCUAACUAUGUGCCAGCAGCCGCGGUAAUACAUAGGUCGCAAGCGUUAUCCGGAAUUAUUGGGCGUAAAGCGUUCGUAGGUUGUUUAUUAAGUCUGAAGUCAAAUCCCAGGGCUCAACCCUGGCUCGCUUUGGAUACUGGUAAACUAGAGUUAGAUAGAGGUAAGCGGAAUUCCAUGUGAAGCGGUGAAAUGCGUAGAUAUAUGGAAGAACACCAAAGGCGAAGGCAGCUUACUGGGUCUAUACUGACACUGAGGGACGAAAGCGUGGGGAGCAAACAGGAUUAGAUACCCUGGUAGUCCACGCCGUAAACGAUGAUCAUUAGUCGGUGGAGAAUCACUGACGCAGCUAACGCAUUAAAUGAUCCGCCUGAGUAGUAUGCUCGCAAGAGUGAAACUUAAAGGAAUUGACGGGGACCCGCACAAGCGGUGGAGCAUGUGGUUUAAUUUGAAGAUACACGGAGAACCUUACCCACUCUUGACAUCCUUCGCAAAGCUAUAGAGAUAUAGUGGAGGUUAACAGAGUG
rnacentral:rRNA from 1 species